rnacentral:rRNA from 1 species
GACGAACGCUGGCGGCGUGCUUAACACAUGCAAGUCGAACGAAGUGGCGAACGGGUGAGUAACGCGUAAUCAACCUGCCCUUCAGAGGGGGACAACAGUUGGAAACGACUGCUAAUACCGCAUACUGACGGAGGGGAUUGCGUCUGAUUAGGUAGUUGGAGGGUUAACGGCCCACAAAGGCCAUGAUCAGUAGCCGGACUGGUAAGGGGAAAGGCCAAAUUGGGACUGAGGACCGGCACAGACGCCGACGGGAGGGAGCAGGGGGGAAAUAUCCGAAAUGGAAGAAAGUCUGACGGAGCAACGCCGGGGGAGGGAUGACGGCCUGCGGGUUGUAAAGCUCUGUUAAUCGGGACGCGGUACCGGAAUAGAAAGCCACGGCUAACUACGGGCCAGCCGCCGCGGUAAUAC